rnacentral:lncRNA from 1 species
AACUCGCAUCCCCUUCCUUCCCCAUUUGAAUUAGUUUUCCCAACAACCACUUCAUGCCUUCGUCUAUUGAUUACUUAAUUUAUUUAUUGCAUAUAUAUAUAUAUAUAUAUAUAUAUAUAUAUAUAUAUAUAUAUAUAUAUAUAAAGUGAACUCAUCCAUCUAUAUAUAGAAAGAGAGGGAGAGAAAUACAUAGAUAAAUAUUGCACAUAACAUAAUUAUAUAUAUACUAGACGACAUAUAUUUAUUUGGAGAGAUUUGGAGAGAGAGAGAGAGAGAUCAUGAUAAGGUUGGGGAUGGUGGUGGAGCUGUUGGAAGAAUACAGGGUGGUGAUGGCAAUGUUGAGACGGGGGAUUUUCCUCUCAAGGCGUGUUCCUGUUCCUGUUCUGUCGACGACGUCUUCUCUCAGAAUGAAUGCUUAUUCCUCACCCACGGCCGAUGCUCAUUUUCUUGUUUACUUCUGAUCACCUACGAUUCUCCCCAUCUUGCUUGUUUUGCCCCAAGUUAAUUAAUUGCUUUCAUUUCAUAUACUAUAUUUCACAAAAUUAAUUAUUCAUUUCAUUUAUUCAGGCUUUAAUUUAUAUAUAUAUUCUCUAUAUAUAACUUUCAUUUCAUUUCAUUUAUAUUGACAAUAAUUUUAAAAAUAAGUUAUUGAUUUAUAUACAGAAUACUGAUGGUUGUGGCAAUCACAACUAAUAUGAUUGUCUUAUACUUGUAUUAGUGACAAUUUUGCCAUUCCAUCAUUUCACCAAUCAAAAGUAAUUAAGUCGAUUUGAGUUGAUUAUGAGAAUUAACCACAAUUAUUAUACUUUAAAUAUAUAUAUAUAUAUAUAUGAAUUAAUGAUCCAUCCAUGUAAAUUAGGAGUAUAUAAUAAUUAGUCACAGUUUUGUACACCUUCAAACUUAAGUACCAUUCUUCUCGAUCUCCAUUUUUAUGUUGUAGAACUUAAUUUUGUUACCCAAGAAAGAAAGAAAAAAAGUGUUGCACAUUCCAUUAGAUAGAUGUAGUAUGAUUUAAGAAUUAAGCUUUGAUAUUAGAUUGAUCGACGAUGUAUGAUUAUUUCAAUUGUUAAUAAUAUAUAAUUUGAGUAAUAUAUAUCCGAGAACACAAACCCAAUUAUCACUGCCCAAUUGAAAGCAACAAACCCAUCUUCAGUUGUGUCAUACAAAUCAAAUAGUAGUAGUUCCAAAUUAUAGCAGCUCUCUCGAGUUUAUGUGAAUUUGUGUCAUUUUUUUUUGGCCUUUAUAAAUUUAAUUUAUUACUAUUUUGUCUUUUUCUAAUGUUAUUUUUUAUUUUUUUAUUUAAUUCUCUAAAUUUAUAAAAAAUUUAUUUUAAUUACCUCACAUAAUUUAUACACGUAACAUAUGUCCCCGGUAUUGAUGAUAAUUUAAAGGGUCGGGAGUAUUAUUUUCACAUGUAUUUUUUGAUAUUUUUACAUAAUUUUUCACGCAAAGGUGUGACCCACUUAUAGAGAGAAAUAUAUGAAAAUAUCAAAAAUACAUGUCAAAAUGGUAAGAUAAGGUGAGGACUGAGGAGGAGCCUAAAAGCAUUCACAACAGUUUCUUCAAUAGACUCUCUAUCCCCACAUUUGAAGAAUAUAUCAAUAAAUCAGUAUCCAACAGUCUCCUUAUCUUUAUAUAAUUCUCUAUUUUAAUCCCUAUAUAUGAUUUGACUCCUCAGGAUGAGCGAAUCAAAAGAGCGUUCCCUAUUUAUGUAAAAU